rnacentral:rRNA from 1 species
GAUGAACGCUGGCGGCGUGCCUAAUACAUGCAAGUAGAACGCUGAAGGAAGGAGCUUGCUCUUUCCGGAUGAGUUGCGAACGGGUGAGUAACGCGUAGGUAACCUGCCUGGUAGUGGGGGAUAACUAUUGGAAACGAUAGCUAAUACCGCAUAACAGUAGAUAUUGCAUGAUAUCUGCUUGAAAGGGGCAAUUGCUCCACUACCAGAUGGACCUGCGUUGUAUUAGCUAGUUGGUGAGGUAACGGCUCACCAAGGCGACGAUACAUAGCCGACCUGAGAGGGUGAUCGGCCACACUGGGACUGAGACACGGCCCAGACUCCUACGGGAGGCAGCAGUAGGGAAUCUUCGGCAAUGGACGGAAGUCUGACCGAGCAACGCCGCGUGAGUGAAGAAGGUUUUCGGAUCGUAAAGCUCUGUUGUAAGAGAAGAACGAGUGUGAGAGUGGAAAGUUCACACUGUGACG